rnacentral:rRNA from 1 species
CUUGACGACCAUAGAGCAUUGGAACCACCUGAUCCCAUCCCGAACUCAGCAGUGAAACGAUGCAUCGCCGAUGGUAGUGUGGGGUUUCCCCAU